GAGAUCUACACUCUUUCCCUACACGACGCUCUUCCGAUCUGCGAGGCUACCCGCUGAAUUUAAGCAUAUUAAUAAGCGGAGGAAAAGAAAACAACUGUGAUUCCAUUAGUAACGGCGAGUGAAGUUGGAAGAGGCCGUCGACGAAGCCGCCUGAUUGUGAUCAGUGCAGCAAUGUGUCGUAUGCGAGUGCUUACUUGUAAAACGCAAACUGUCUAGAUCGUCUUGAAUGAUCGUUCCAAAGAGGGUGGUAGGCCCGUAAGACAGGAGGCGGAUUGCAUUGGGUGCUCGGUAGAGUAGCUUUGUUUGGGAAUGCAAAGUUAAUGGCAGGUAGAUCCCUGCUAAGCCUAAAUAUAACAUGACACCGAUAGCGAAAAAGUACAGUGAUGGAAAGUUGAAAAGAACUUUGGAAUGAGAGUUAAAUAGUGCGUGAAACCGUUGAGAAGGAAGUGAUCGAGCGACUUAGACGUCCGGGUGUUAAAGCUGUCUAACAAGGCAGUGUCGCACACGGAUUGCUUGCGUCAAUGGCUUUGAGGGGUAACGGACCGAGUGUUGGUAGUCGACCUUAGGGUUGAUGAAGCAGGAGGAAACCGGGGCUCAGCGGAGUGAGGAAUACUGCGUCGCCGUAAGGUUGGGGCUUUGCGGGUUAUUGCAAGGUAAGGAUGUAAAUCUCUUCUGAGACUGCAAUCGUACCGGGUUUUGGCUUGUAAAUGCUGCUUGGGCGCAAAAGAUUGAUGCAUAAAUGUCGUCUCAAAUCGUCCCGUCUUGAAACACGGACCAAGGAGUCCACCAGUUGCGCGAGUGAUUGGGUGGAAAACCCAAACGCGUAAUGAAAGUGACUGUCGCGGCAAGCUGGUAACAGCAGCACCGUGCGCCGGCGUCAUGGCUUCUUAGCUAGGUGUCGAGCGAGAGCGUAGAUGGUGGGACCCGAAAGGUGGUGAACUAUACUUGAAUAGGUUGAAGUCAGGCGAAAGCCUGAUGGAGGACCGUAGCUGUUCUGACGUGCAAAUCGAUUGUCGAAUUUGAGUAUAGGGGCGAAAGACUAAUCGAACCACUUAGUAGCUGGUUCCAGCCGAAGUUUCCCUUAGGAUAGCUGUUACUCUCUGGAGUUUUAUCAGGUAAAGCGAAUGAUUGGUGAAUUCUGGGGGCAUGUCCCCUAGCUCAACUCUCAAACUUUAAAUUGGUAAGAAGCACCUUUCGCUUAAUUGGAUUGGUGCAUUGAAUCCGAGUAAUGUGUGGGCCACUCUUGGUAAGCAGGACUGGCGAUGCGGGAUGCUCCGAACGCGUAUUUAAAGAGACCUAAGGUCCGCGUAUCAGAACCCAGAAAAGGUGUUGGUCGAAUUUGACAGCAAGACGGUGGCCAUGGAAGUCGGUUCCCGCUAAGGAGUGUGUAACAACUCACUUGCCGAUUCGACCGGCCCUGAAAAUGGAUGUCGCUGCAGCGGACUUCUUAUAGUACGCCCUUGAAACAUGUAUAAAACAAGUAAGUUUCAAGGAGUAGGCUGGCGUGUCGGUGGCGUGGAAGGUGCUAGCGCGAGCUACACUGAAGCCGCCGAUAGUGCAGAUCUUGGUAGUAGUAGCGAAUAGUCAAAUGAGAACUUUGACGGCCGAAGUGGCGAAUGGUUCCUUGUAAACAGCAUUUGAACAAGGGUGAGUCGGUCCUAAGCUACAGCCGAAUGGUGUAGUGAAAGCGGAGUGAUGCCUUGGUAUUGCUCCCGUGGGCGAAAGGGAAGCGAGUUAAUAUUCUCGCGCGUCGACGUGGCUAGUGUGCUUCGGUACACAGAGCGGUAACGCAAAGGAACUCGGAGAAGCUUGCGGUUACAUCGGGAAGAGUUGUCUUUUCUUGCUAACGAGACGUUAGAGCAUGGAAUGAGUUUGGCUCGAGAUAUGCUUUGCGGCUCGGAAGAGCAGUGCUUUUCUUGCGCUGUCCGAUCAGUUGCCGUUGGCCCUUGAAAAUCCGAGUGAGUGAUUGAUGUUCACGCGACGCCGUACAGAUAUCCGCAACUGGUCGCCAAGGUGAGUAGCCUCUGGUCGAUGGGAGAAAGCGAGUAAGGGAAGUCGGCAAAAUAGAUUCGUAACUUCGGGAAAAGAAUUGGCUCUGAGGGUUGGGUGUGGGGGUCCUUCUCCUGAAAUGCCGGCUGAGUCGUGACUACUUGACGCCCUCGGGUGAAUUGUGGACUCGUUUCGGCUAGUGUUAACGGGGUCGGAAUGGUGGCUUCGGUUACCUUUCCCUGCACAGUGAACAACCAGCUCAGAACUGGAGCGGACAAGGGGAAUCCGACUGUUUAAUUAAAACAAAGCAUUGCGAUGGCCUCAAAAGGUGUUGACGCAAUGUGAUUUCUGCCCAGUGCUCUGAAUGUCAAAGUGAUGAAAUUCAAACAAGCGCGGGUAAACGGCGGGAGUAACUAUGACUCUCUUAAGGUAGCCAAAUGCCUCGUCAUCUAAUUAGUGACGCGCAUGAAUGGAUUAACGAGAUUCCCACUGUCCCUAUCUACUAUCUAGCGAAACCACAGCCAAGGGAACGGGCUUGGGAUAAUCAGCGGGGAAAGAAGACCCUGUUGAGCUUGACUCUAGUCCGACUUUGUGAAAUGACUUAGGAGGUGUAGCAUAAGUGGGAGCUUUGGCGAUCUUGAAAUACCACUACUCUUAAUGUCAUUUUACUUAUUCCGUUAGACUGAGACUUGCAUCACAGCGAGUUUUGGAUUUAAGGUUGUCUUCUUUGAUGGUUGAUCUGUGCGGAAGACAUAGUCAGGUGGGGAGUUUGGCUGGGGCGGCACAUCUGUUAAAUGAUAACGCAGGUGUCCUAAGGUGAGCUCAAU
rnacentral:rRNA from 1 species